GGAUGCGAUCAUAACAGCACUAAUGCAUCGGAUCCCAUCAGAACUCCGCAGUGAAGCGUGCUUGGGCGAGAGUAGUACUAGGAUGGGUGACCUCCCGGGAAGUCCUCGUGUUGCAUCCC
rnacentral:rRNA from 1 species